rnacentral:rRNA from 1 species
GUCGAGAAUCUUCCGCAAUGCGCGAAAGCGUGACGGAGCGACACCGCGUGAUGGAUGAAGUCCUUCGGGGCGUAAACAUCUUUUAUAAAGGAGGAAAUUUUUGACGUUACUUUAUGAAUAAGGGGCUCCCAAUCUCGUGCCAGCAGGAGCGGUAAUACGAGAGCCUCAAGCGUUAUCCGGAAUCAUUGGGCGUAAAGGGUGCGUAGGUGGUUUGAUUAGUCUCCCGUUAAAACUUCGAGCUUAACUCGAAAAGAGCGGGGGAAACGGUCAAACUAGAGUAUGUGGGAGGUGUGUGGAACUCAUGGUGUAGGGGUGAAAUCCGUUGAUAUCAUGGGGAACACCAAAAGCGAAGGCAGCACACUGGCACAUCACUGACACUGAGGCACGAAACCUAAGGUAGCGAAUGGGAUUAGAAACCCCUGUAGUCC